rnacentral:rRNA from 1 species
GACGAACGCUGGCGGCGUGCUUAACACAUGCAAGUCGAACGGAAAGGCCCUGCUUUUGUGGGGUGCUCGAGUGGCGAACGGGUGAGUAACACGUGAGUAACCUGCCCUUGACUUUGGGAUAGCUUCAGGAAACUGGGGCUAAUACCGGAUAGGAGCUCCUGCUGCAUGGUGGGGGUUGGAAAGUUUCGGCGGUUGGGGAUGGACUCGCGGCUUAUCAGCUUGUUGGUGGGGUAGUGGCUUACCAAGGCUUUGACGGGUAGCCGGCCUGAGAGGGUGACCGGCCACAUUGGGACUGAGAUACAGCCCAGACUCCUACGGGAGGCAGCAGUGGGGAAUAUUGCACAAUGGGCGGAAGCCUGAUGCAGCAACGCCGCGUGCGGGAUGACGGCCUUCGGGUUGUAAACCGCUUUCGCCUGUGACGAAGCGUGAGUGACGGUAAUGGGUAAAGAAGCACCGGCUAACUACGUG